GCCUUCAUGGUGUAGCGGUUAGCAUGCUCGGUGCAUAACUGAGAGGUCAGUGGUUCGAUUCCCAGCGAAAGCG
rnacentral:tRNA from 1 species